rnacentral:lncRNA from 1 species
AUGAAGAACUUGUGACCGACAAAACUGGCUUGCUCAGGGUCCCACAGCUACGGGGUGUCUGAGGUCAUGUCUGACGGAGGUUGUCCUGUGUCUAGGUGAGACGCUCUUCACCGUACCAUCGAAGGACCCAAUCAAAGACAGGAAGGUGCUGAGGCUCUCUGGGGGCAAGGACACGCAUAGAGACGUGGAUGUUGUCGUGUGUCUAUGUAUAUUUGCACAUAUGCAUGCUGCUGCUUCUGUCCUCGGUCUUGCUUCUAUCACAGGCUACUCCCCAGGAAGAAAUGGUCUCUAUGUGGGAAACAGGCUCAUCCCAAAGGACAGAACUAAAAGGACUUUGGAGACGAUCUAAUCCAAGCCCUUUAUGUUAGACAAGAAUGCCAGGGUCCAAUGGUGGUCCUGGGGGCUCAGCCAUUAUGCUUCUCACGUCAGAGAGCCAAUGGCAGCUAGCAGCUGGGUCCAGGGGCACAACGUCAGGAUGGCACCCUUGGGCAACAGCUUCUCCAAGGAAAUGACGCCCUCACUGCCCUGUCCAGUUCAUGCCAUCGACGAGGGAUCUCCGGACAGCAUCAGCACUCCAGGGAGGGAGCUCAGGGCUAGAGCAAAGCAGAAUCAGGAGCAGUGGACAUUGAAGAGAGACAGACAACUGGAGCUAUCCACAGCCUCCCUGGCAGUCCUCAGGAAGAAGCUGACCAAGUAGGACCGAGGUCCAAGGAGGUUGUCUCUGGCCCAAGAUCACAUCGCAAGCUGAGUGCAUUCCCAAUGCUUCUUGGGAUAGGCUUCAUUUGGCCUCCACUUCUAAACUCUCCUCCAUGCCCUCCCCCAAUUGGAGAGGGAUCCGGGUCCCUUUCUUUCAGCUCCCUCUCUGCCUCCCCAGGAAGACAUUUGGGGAAUUGGCUAAGUGAUCAAUAGCCUUAUCCGUAAUAAUAAGGGCCUUGAGUCAUGUUGGGCUCUGAGUUGUUUUUGAGACAGAGAGAUGGAGACAGAGAAGGACAGAGAUGGAAAGAAGAGACCUCCGAGUGAACAAUAGGAGGAAGGCUCCCCAGGAGAGAGGGAGAUCGGAUUUGAGUCACAGGCAAGCCGACACUGGCAAACAGGUAUCCGGGAUAACAUUUUUAGCUUUCAGCACAAGGGGGGCCAAGACAGCACUGUGAGCACUCAUCCUCACCUUAGAGCCCAGGACUGCGGCUGGCUCCCUGCUUCCCUCCAGCAGUCUGCCCUUAUACCUUAAGAAUUCCAGGGUUUCGUGUUCUGAACACCUGCAAGCAGAAGCAUCUCUUCCUGUGGGGGCCCUCCCUACACUGCUAUCUCCCCCCAUGGCACCUAGUACCUCCACCUCACUGCAACACCUCAGUCUUCAAUUGGAAUCAUCCUAAACUAGGCGGGCUGGACGAGCUGGAGGUAAUGGUGAACAGCUCCUGUGGCUCUCAACGAUGAAUGG